rnacentral:misc_RNA from 1 species
UCAUGGUCCUGCGGCCACUUGUGCGCAGAGGGUGGUGUGGCUGGAGUAGAUGGUGGCGAGGUCAGCAGACCCCCCUUGUACGAAGGAGAGUAGUCGAGGUAGUUGCACGGUCGCCGCAGAUGAGGGUCAGCGUCGGAAGGAGCGAUGCAGAGGGGUGCCACACGCCAUGUCUUGCAACCUCUUGUACGUGGAGGUCAACAUCCACCACAUUGCUCGGCCGCGUUGGUGCAGCUACGGCUCCCCCGCAAUGGAGCACCCCCAACAUCUGCUUCACCCGCCGACGCGCAAGGAAACCGCGUGUUGCAGCCUGCAGGUGGACGUCCGCCGCCGUCUGUCAUGGAGCAACCACCCUCUUCUGGACGUCGCUCUUGGGGUCAAGGGUAGUGUGAUGGCUGCCCCUAAUGACAUGGGUGGUGUCGGCGACGAGGACGCGACAAACGUGGCAAUAGAAGCCGCCACUGCUGCGAGGGAACCAAAGCGU